AUAGCCACUUGGCUCACAAAGAAGCAGAGAUGCAGCACAGGUCAUCAUCUGUGGGCAAGAAGAAAACUAUGUCAUCCUUUUCAGAAGAGCAAUGGGAGCUGGUGUUCUGUGUAGGAUAUUUCCUUACAAUCUAGUAUAUACUGGAGCUUAGUGAUUGGGUGGUGACACACUUCAGGCUCUGAGUUCUCAGUAAUGCAGUAACAGUAACUCAUAGACUUGGCCCAAGAGGACUUAAUAUUUCUCAACAUGAGUUACAGUUAGUAUGGGUGCUGCAGGAGAAUAGAAAAGAAUUAUGAGGUCCUGGUGAAGAGGAAUCUUUCAAUCAAGGAGGCAAUCCUGGCUUCUAAAAUAGAUCACUGGCUUCUGGGGCUCAAUGGAGAUGACAGAGAACUACACAGCCCAUGGCAUGCUUGGAGAGAACUAUGGUUAGUUGUGAUUCAGAGAAAAGAACUGCACCAAGACACUAGCCUUGAACAAGACAUGAAGAUCAUGCUGAAAGUACCUGCAUGGAUGGAGGAUGUGAUCUCAAAUCGGAAUUGCAGCUGCCCACUCACAUGGUCAGUUGGAAGCCGGCGGCCAAGUGUGUAGCUGACCACCCUAUCCCUAGAAGGAAAUAAGCACCAUCACAGAUUCUGUAAUGACCUCUCCUGCUAAUGAGCACACAAUGUGUUUUCUACACCAGCUGGUGGGACAGGAAAUCUCAGAGAAGCCAUUGUAACAGGGAGUGAAGGUCCCUCUGGGGUCCCAUCUUAAGGUACAGAUGUAGGAUCAAUAAAGAGAUUCUUAUCAAACAUUCUAACUCAAGGAUCAGAAAAACUACAGUUUUUAGUUUUAGUUAGUUAUUACUUUUUACAUGUUGGCAUGGCCAUGAGCUCUGGGAAAAACACGUGAAAAGAGUAAAUUAUGU
rnacentral:lncRNA from 1 species